GCCUUGUUGAUGAAAGAGGUUUACGGAGAAUGGCCAGACUGGUUCGAACUGACAAAGUCUAUGGUUACAUUAGGUCCUAAUUCCGUUUGGGUGUAAGCUCUGCUGCCCUGCCGUCAUCGCCUCUGGCAGGAUCUGACUGUUCAAGCAGGAUCGGAGCACUGAACCGUAGGAUGGGGCUUAUGCCAAAUGUUUAGGUCUCAUCCUGGGUGGGGGUAAGCUCCACUCCCCUGCCGUCAUUACCUCCAGCAGGAUCUGACAGUUCAAGCAGCACCGGAGCGCUGAACCGUAGGAUGGGGCUUACCCCAAAUUAAAUAUGUAUUUUUUCAUUCAUUUUAUCAACUGGUUUUCAACUGGUUUUGCUUUAGAAUCUAAAUUUUACAUAGGAUAUCAAGUGGCAACUGAACACUGUGCCACAAUUGAUUAUUGCACAAAAGUAAAAAACAAACAAAAAAACAACAAAACAAAUAUUGAAAUAUAUUAAUCUUACCAUGAACUGCAUUUAUCCAACAAUAUGCAAAAUUAUUAAUGCUAAAUAGGAAAAUUUACAAUUUUACGAAUGCCUCAGCAAUAGCAGAAGUGUGAUUUAUUUGGGGAUCAUAAUUUUAUGUAGUGGGUUGUAUUUUCUUUUACCUUACAUAGUAUUUUUCAUGAUAUUGAGUUUAAGGACAACCUGUCCAUGUUGGCAUCUGCCUAAUAUGAUUAGAUGUAUUUUAUUAAUUUGCUUCCCUGCUGUCCACGAUCCUGUCAGACCCAAACCCGACUAUCAAAUUCAGAAACAUGUACAGUAUUCAAUAAAGUAUGUUAAUGAAUAUUACAGUAUGAUACUAUAUGAGCAAUUUGACAAGAUUUG